AAAACGUAACUUUGGUGAAAAAAUAUAUAGAUGAUGUGUUCGAACUUGAAGGAGAAUAUGAUUCAGUAGUAAUAUGUCUUGGAUCCAAGAUAGACUUUCUUCCAGGGCUUAUUGGAAAGCUACCUUUAAGGACUUGCCGAGGUGUCAUUACUCAUUUGCAGUUACCCGAGAGUGCCAGGGGUUACCCUGAUGGUGGACCUUCGAUCU